rnacentral:rRNA from 1 species
GAUGAACGCUGGCGGCGUGCCUAAUACAUGCAAGUCGAGCGAACAGAUGAGGCGCUUGCUCGUUUCACGUUAGGCGCGCAGGGGUGAAUAACCCGUGGAUACCCUACUUAUCAGACUGAUAUAACUUCGGGAAACGGGCGCUAAUCCCGGAUAAUCUACUGAAGCACAUGGGUGAUUAGUAAGAGUCGGCUUUGCUGUCACGUAUAGCUGGAUCUCAGCGGCAUUAGCUAGUUGUUAAGGUCAAGGCUUAUCAAGGCUAGCAUGCGUAGCCGACCUGAGAGGGUGAUAGGCCACACUGGAACGUAGACACGGUCCAGACUCCUACGGGAGGCAGCAGUAGGGAAUCUUCCGCAAUGGGCGAAAGCAUGACGGAGCAACGCCGCGUGAGUGAUGAAGGUCUUCGGAUCGUAAAACUCUGUUAUUAGGGAAGAACAAAUGUGUAAGUAACUAUGCACGUCUUGACGGUACCUAAUCAGAAAGCCACGGCUAACUACGUG